CACAGCCAGACUUGCUUUGCAGUGAGAAUGCCACACAGACUCUGGCGAGAUAUGGUGAUAAAAUGGUGGCACGUCAUGGGGAGGAGUACGAUUGGAGGAGGAGUGAUGUGGAUGUCGAUGCCUUAUACUCAAGCGGGGGAGGGAAGAAACAUGGCAGGUUCAGCAUGUUGAAUGGCGUUAUUGAUACAAGUGGUGCUUUGAGUGAGGCAAGGUAUUCUCAGUCCUCUCAGAAUUCUCGGGGCUACCAACGGAAAAGUGAAAGGGAAAGUCGACUACAGGAGGAGAUAAGGCAGCAUAGAGAGGCGAUGCAGAGGUAAGAGGAGUGGGCAAGGCAACAACACGAGUACAAACAAGGUUUUUUCGCUCAGCAACGACAGAUUCAGGAAAUGCUAGCGGCUACCCUUGG